AUGCUGCCUUGGACCAGGAGCUCUAGGGCCACAUCCUUUGGAUGUGCUGGUGUCAUUCUGCUGAGAAAACAGCGGAGCGGUCAUCCUGAUGGAAAACACACUGAGGUUCCGUGCACGGACUCAGACCCUGCGUAACCUAGGCAUCAGGAAGCCACAAUUGGGGGCAGAAAUGUCUCAGGACACUGGGUAAGGAUGGGGCUGAAAGGGACUGAUUAGGGCCUCCCCUGCCUGCACACAGCUUGCUCUGGGUCAAAGUGCUGCCUUAUGGAGGGGAUGGGCGUCUACCUUUUCUACAAAUGCCCUCACAGCUUCAGUUGGAAUGAUCCAAGCUAGGCUGGCCGCUCGGUAUGUGCCAGGAUUGAGGUAUGAAGCCCCAAGUUCCUGACCUUCUCCUAGCUCAUCUUGUCUUCAGUCUCCCCACCCCUGCUGCCCCGAAUUCUUCAUAUCAGCACAUACAGAAACAUUGACGCAUUACUUCUGAUUUCCAAUAUUCUGCCCUGUCAUUAAGUUCUUGUUUGCUGCUGUCUCAGUAUCUUGACUUAGAUAAUCUGUUGCCCCGUUGUCCCUGACUACAUGUCCUUCUGCAAAGGAAAAGGAACCGGUGGGAGACAGAAGAAAGGAAGAGGGAAGGAAGGAAGGUAAGGAGGAAAGGAGGAAAAGAAACGUGG
rnacentral:lncRNA from 1 species